UUUUCCUCCUUAUUCAAGUUCGGAACUCCCUCUUCUUCAAGAACUCCUCUCUCCUUCUCCAACUAAAACUCCUCCCCUUCAAGGACUCCUCUCUCCUUCGUCCUUCCCUCUUCUCAUUAACCUUCACCUCUUCAACUUCUUCUUCCUCCUUAGGGUUUUUUGGACGGCGGCGAGGCGAGCUAGGGCUUUCUCACGCUUCUCAGUGAGGAUCCGGAACCGGAUGAGCGUGAUCGUGUGAGGAAGCAUCUGCCAUUGUCGAGGAGCAUUGGAGACUCGGUGGAGGUUCCUUCUAUGGAGAGCCAGAGACACCAUUGUUUCUAUCUCUCCUCUCUCUGAAUCCAGGAAUUGAUCUCUAUCUUCUGUAUUUGGUAAUUCCCCAAACUAUAUCCUCAACCACUUCUUUGAUUUUAGUUAUGUCGCUGAAGAGAUUGCCAUUCUGAGGGGUCGAUCAACUACUCAACCACCUGAGAGAGAGCCUUCAUCAUAUGAGGUUGAAUUCCUUCCAGAGGUGUUCUCCCCUCAUGCGGUGGACGGUCACCGCAGUGAGGCUUAUGCCUCUAUUGAUGACCCAAUGCUCAUCCCGACUGUUCCCUAAUUUUCUCUGGAUGGGCCUGAAGAACUUCCUCAGCUGGUGUGGAAGGGAGAUCGCCAUAUCCUAUGAUAAUUGAUCACUGAUGCACCACUUGUUAAAGAUUCUAGCUCUACCCAUCCUUUGAGGAAACCAGAUUAUUUGUUCGGCGACUCCGUUGAAGACCCGGCCGCUGUAUCUCUUGAAGCUGAGCAAUGGCUGCAUAAAGAUGAUGGAGGCCUCCUAUAUCUUCCCCUAAUUCCUCGCCAUCAUUUGCUGACUGAAUUGCGGAAGUAGGCUGUGACACGGGAGAUGUCGUGGCAUUUGUGUAACAACAGUAAUUUUCGAUACAUAUUUAAAUAAUUUUUCUAGUAUUUAAAAUGUUAAAUUUUAUCUUAUUAAUAUUUUUCCCAA